GCCGACGCCCGACUCAAGAACUACAAGGAAGUUGACGGGACCCGCACAAGCGGUGGAUCAUGGUUGUUUAAUUCGUAUGAUACGCGAAGAACCUUACCAGGUCUGACAUCCCCCGCGAUGCUUUAGAGAUAAGCGGAGGUAUUCGGGGAGACAGGUGGUGCAUGGUUGUCGUCAGCUCGUGUCGUGAGAUGUUGGGUUAAGUCCCGCAAACGAGCGCAACCCCUAUUGCUAGUUACCAUCAUUAAGUUGGGGACUCUAGCGAGACUGCCAGUGAUAAACUGGAGGAAGGUGGGGAUGACGUCAAAUCAUCAUGCCCCUUAUGACCUGGGCUACAAACGUGAUACAAUGGCUGGAACAAAGGGAUGCGAAGCAGUGAUGUGGAGCGAAACCCAUAAAAACAGUCUCAGUUCGGAUUGAAGUCUGCAACUCGACUUCAUGAAGUCGGAAUCGCUAGUAAUCGCGGAUCAGAACGCCGCGGUGAAUACGUUCUCGGGGUUU
rnacentral:rRNA from 1 species